rnacentral:rRNA from 1 species
GUUGUGAGGUUAAGCGACUAAGCGUACACGGUGGAUGCCCUGGCAGUCAGAGGCGAUGAAGGGCGUGCUAAUCUGCGAUAAGCGCCGGUAAGGUGAUAUGAACCGUUAUAACCGGCGAUACCCGAAUGGGGAAACCCAGUGUGAUUCGUCACACUAUCAUUAACUGAAUCCAUAGGUUAAUGAGGCGAACCGGGGGAACUGAAACAUCUAAGUACCCCGAGGAAAAGAAAUCAACCGAGAUUCCCCCAGUAGCGGCGAGCGAACGGGGAGGAGCCCAGAGCCUGAAUCAGCAUGUGUGUUAGUGGAAGCGUCUGGAAAGGCGCGCGAUACAGGGUGACAGCCCCGUACACAAAAGCGCAUGUGCUGUGAGCUCGAUGAGUAGGGCGGGACACGUGGUAUCCUGUCUGAAUAUGGGGGGACCAUCCUCCAAGGCUAAAUACUCCUGACUGACCGAUAGUGAACCAGUACCGUGAGGGAAAGGCGAAAAGAACCCCGGCGAGGGGAGUGAAAAAGAACCUGAAACCGUGUACGUACAAGCAGUGGGAGCACCCUUUGGGUGUGACUGCGUACCUUUUGUAUAAUGGGUCAGCGACUUAU